rnacentral:rRNA from 1 species
AUGCCGGCGAGCACCGCCCCUCUUCCCAUCCAUUUUCGCCAGGACCUCGCCUCACCCCGAUGCACCCAGCCAGCCAGUGUCAGUUCCUCUCCUCCCCAAAUGAUCGGAUACGUUGACCGAGCAAUUGCUCCUCCACGGGUCCGUCCAGCUGCACGCCGCUGGCCGCAGAUCCUCCCCCGGGGACCGACCCAGACAUCGGUUGCCUUCAUGACGCACCCGACCCCGCCCCCGCCCCCACCCCCAUUCCACCAGGUGGAUGUCGUUGUCGUGCUCGAGGCCGACCAUGGCUUAUUAUCUCACCGUCUUCUAGUUAUUCUAGUUGUUCUUCUUCUCUUGCAGAGAUCUUCGUCGUUCCUUGCAGAUGGCAACUCGAGCGAUGUGAUUCUUUUCUUCGACCGCCUCGGCCGCUCACCAACACGGCCACUUGUAGUUCAGGUAUUGACCUGCUGA